rnacentral:lncRNA from 1 species
UCGGUAUAGGCACAGUAUGGACUCUGAGCGACAUUCUUCCGUGUCCUUUCCUAGUCCGUUCGUCGGUGACACAGCGUUCAUUUUCCCACCUCCGUAUUCACCCUUGUUUUGCCGCCUAGCCUCAUCAUUGCCGCACUGUUCCGACCGCGACCGCACCACUCAGGCGUCGCCGCCGCAUCCACCAACGUAUCCACCGCCAUCGGAUCAAACGAGACCGACGUCUGUGGCCGCUCCUCGCCACCGGUGUAGCACGAGAAGCUACGCCUGCCAAGGGUCGUUGGCCGCGCCCUCGCCUGCACGGUCACCACCGGAGGGUGCAGACUGAAAAUGAAAAAACUGUCCAUUUGAUUGACAACGACAAUACAAAGGGCAUCUUAAAGCUUGCA